CACUAACUCGUGGAUAACCUACCCUAGGAUGGGGGAUAAUCUCGGAAAACUGAGGAUAAUACCCCAUAGGUCUGGGAGGCUGGAAUGCAUCCAGACUGAAAACUCCGGUGUCCUAGGAUGGGUCUGCGGCCUAUCAGGUUGUAGUGAGUGUAAAGGACUCACUAGCCGACAACGGGUACGGGCCAUGGGAGUGGUAGCCCGGAGAUGGAUUCUGAGACACGAAUCCAGGCCCUACGGGGCGCAGCAGGCGCGAAAACUUCGCAAUGUGCGCAAGCGCGACGAGGGGAUUCCAAGUGCAUGCACUCAGUGUAUGCUGUUUUCCAGUCUAAAUAGCUGGGAGAGUAAGGGCUGGGUAAGACUGGUGCCAGCCGCCGCGGUAAUACCAGCGGCCCUAGUGGUGAUCGUUAUUAUUGGGCCUAAAGCGUCCGUAGCCGGCUCGGUAAAUCUCUGGGUAAAUCGAUAGGCUUAACCUAUCGAAUUCUGGGGAGACUGCCGGGCUUGGGACCGGGAGAGGUCGGAGGUACUCCAGGGGUAGGGGUGAAAUCCUGUAAUCCUUGGGGGACCACCGGUGGCGAAGGCGUCCGACCAGAACGGGUCCGACGGUAAGGGACGAAGCCCUGGGGCGCAAACCGGAUUAGAUACCCGGGUAGUCCAGGGUGUAAACGCUGUGCGCUUGGUGUUGGGGGUCCUACGAGGGCACCCAGUGCCGGAGAGAAGUUGUUAAGCGCACCGCCUGGGGAGUACGGUCGCAAGACUGAAAUUAAUA
rnacentral:rRNA from 1 species